UGUUCUGAACCAAUACAAACGAAGCUGAUGUUCAGAUUGGUGAGCAUUUAAAUGGCAACAAAACAAACCACCCUUGAGACGUCAUCACACGCUGCACAUUCAUAUGCGCACAUUUUCAUUAGUCUUACUCUGUGGACAUAAUUUUAAACCGAAAGUAUAACGAACGUUUCAAGCUACAACCUAUAAGUUAAAUAUGCGGAUGCUGCGCACCUUGUAUUUUCUGUGUAUGGUAACACUAUCUGCGGGAUUGCCCAUGGGCACAGUUAUUCGGUAUGAGUACAAUAGUGUGUUCGGCGAGGAAGAGACAUUUCAAGAGAGAAUCUUCAUUAACGGAUCCCCCGUCACACCCAAUGGCAAUGGAGAUGUUCGUACUGGAGUAAUCGACGUAAUGUCCUUCAACAAUGGCAGUUCAUCUCUACACGAUUCUCUCAGGGUUUUUGCAAAUAGUUUCAACAAAACAAAAAAAGACCACACUUACCAGCGUCUUCGAGAGUGCAAAUUUAAUGGACACCAAGUGAUGCAUAUAUCUGACCGGAUCAAGCACAAUGGGAAAGAUUAUUUGUCUCUGGACCAAACGACAGACACCUGGGUGGCCUUGGACCCGCAGGCCGUUUUCCUGAAAAAGGAGUUGGACCGCGACAGUGAACGCACAGUGCGUGACAGGAUGUGUUUUCAGGAGGCCUGUACGGAGUUGAUGAAGGACCUAAACCACUCGUACUCUGCAUCCAAAGGGGGUUCAGCUACAGUUUUAGCCCCACUCCUGGCAGUACUUAUAUUAUUUGGUCUGGUCAUUCUCAGCGUUAUGUCUAAACACAAUGUCAAAGGUUCUGCUUCACCAGCAGGGGUUCUGGGUUCAAUAGUCCACUAUCCAGCUCAAACCUCAGACACUGUCAAGGAACCAGCUAUACAACCUUCCCUCUCCAUCAAAGCAUCCUUACUGAGCAAUAUGCCUUGAUUCCAGUAUGUGUAGGCAGAAUUUGAUGUAAGUUCCAGUCAUUCAUAGAAAUCCUGUGAGGCUCUGCUGAUACAUCCUGGUUUCCUACCUCUAGUGCCUCUGUAGUGAUUUUUUUUUGUGUUAUGAUUUAUAUACAUAGCUUAUGGAAGCUGAAUUGCACUGCUAAGAUGUAUGUGGAAAUACACUUAUAACUUACAGAAAGGUUUUAUUCGAUUUGUUGCUUGAUGCUUGUGCUCCUGCCACAGCUACUCAUUACUGGCACUACUGAGUUCAUUAACUUAACAAAACUAACCAGGGAGGUUGAAAAUAAGUAUUGCACAAUUUGGUACUCCCUGAGAUGUUUAAUUCAAUACCUGUGGAUAGCUCAGAGCAAACAAAAUGCUCUGACAGCCAAAAAUUCUGUUUUAGAUAUGUACAAAUGGUAUUCUUAUUUCAGACCACUUUAUGUUUAAUAAAACAUAGAAAUGUUAUAGGGUUUAAUUGUUCCAAAGACAUCUGAAUGAUAUUGUAUUUAGACUGCUGUAACCUUGUGUCACUGUUUGCUACUUUAAAUUAAAGAUAAUGUGCUUGUACUAUUUUGUGUAAUACAAUAUUUUAAACGUGCAGUUUGUAUUGUCAAAAUUAAACAUGGAAGUGUUAGUUUUUAAGUUAGUUUUAAAGGUUAUGUUUAAAUACUAUUGAAACUGUCAUUGUACAAACCAAGAACAAUUAUUAUUAUUAUUAUUAUUAUAGUAAUUGAUUUUACUUUAAUAUGGUUUUAUGAAUGAAAUGACAGCAUGAUUAUUGUUUAAUUUUCUCAUUGUUGUUUUUACUGUAUUUGUAUCUGUUUUAUAAGUGACUUUUGAAAAAAGUGUCUACUUAGUACCAUAAUUUGAACUACAACUAUGACUGUAUUCAUAACAACAAUGUAGGCUAGGCCAAAAAAAUAGACAGAACUUCGUUCGACCGGACUAUAUUGUUGGUAGUACCACUCAGAGG
ensembl:lncRNA